CCUGCGGUGGAGCAAGGAGCUGAAAGGGAGGAAGAGACAGACCAGGGAUAGUGUUUCUAUGUUAGGAUCAUGGCUUUACUGGGCCAUUCCAAAAAGACACCAGGCCCUGUCUGUGAAGAGCUUCUUCCAGAUUUUCAUUGGCCUCUUCCAGAAUGCAAACUGCUGGCAGACGUUACCCUUGUUAAAUGCACUAGAUUUAUUUUAUUUUAUUUUAGCCUGGCUAAGAGUGUUUAGAUCUUUACCUAGGAAUGGAAAGCUGAAGGCUGUUCAUCAGAAGUGGUAAUGGAAGGAGGCUGCAGGGUGGCUCACAGGUCACACCCUACAGGACCUAGAGGAAAUGCAAUUAGUGCCAUCACCUUCAGAGAAGCCACUUAGUCGCUUAAAGGGUUGUUAAGAAGAAAAAGAGGGAGCCAGGCAGAGUGUCCAGUUCUUUGAGAGUGCUGGGUGAAUCUGAG
ensembl:lncRNA